UACGUAGGGUGCAAGCGUUGUCCGGAAUUACUGGGCGUAAAGAGCUCGUAGGUGGUUUGUCGCGUUGUUCGUGAAAACUCACAGCUCAACUGUGGGCGUGCGGGCGAUACGGGCAGACUUGAGUACUGCAGGGGAGACUGGAAUUCCUGGUGUAGCGGUGAAAUGCGCAGAUAUCAGGAGGAACACCGGUGGCGAAGGCGGGACUCUGGGCCGAUACUGACGCUGAGGAGCGAAAGCGUGGGGAGCAAACAGG
rnacentral:rRNA from 1 species